rnacentral:rRNA from 1 species
UAGGGAAUAUUGCACAAUGAGCGAAAGCUUGAUGCAGCAACGCCGCGUGCGCGAUGACGGCCUUCGGGUUGUAAAGCGCUUUUCGGGGAGAUGAGGAAGGACAGUAUCCCCGGAAUAAGUCUCGGCUAACUACGUGCCAGCAGCCGCGGUAACACGUAGGAGGCAAGCGUUAUCCGAAUUUACUGGGCGUAAAGCGCGUGCAGGCGGUUCGGUAAGUUGGAUGUGAAAUCUCCCGGCUCAACUGGGAGGGGACGUUCAAUACUGUCGGAGGUGAGGACGAUAGAGGGAGGGGGAAGGCCCGGUGUAGUGGGGAAAUGCGUAGAUAUCGGGAGGAACACCAGUGGCGAAAGCGGCCUCCUGGAUCGUUCCUGACGCGCAGACGCGAAAGCGAGGGGAGCGAACGG